GUACAUUAUGAACCACCAACUCGUGGUCGUCCUCCAAAACGACGCUUUGAAGAGUAUUUUCAACAUGAAAGGGUUUCUUCCGAAAUAGGAAAUGCUGCAACAACUCCAACAUCCCGACAAGCCCUACCUGCUCCUUACAAUUAUCGAAACGUCGUACCCACAAAUCCAAAUCCCCCAUCUGCUCCUAGGCAAUUUGCAAACUCUGUCUAUGACCUAGAAUUUGAGAGGAGAGGUCAUCCCAUUGACCCCCAUCUUAGAUUGUUUAAACGACCACCAGAGAACUAGUUUGGCUGGAGUUUUCAGAAUAUAUCAGACCAUAACUUUCCUCAGGAGCAGUUUGAUUGGAAGAUUUCAAUUUGUAUCUUUAAAAACUCAAUAGUUUCAGACAAUUCUCAUAAACAAAGACUAGUUUUGACAAUAUUAUUUGCACAAAUAAAAUUUGACAUAACAUAUAAGAAUAAGGGUUAUGUUAUGUGUGCAAGUAAUACUAUCUGGGCCCUUCUUGCUGAUGUUGGGUUCGGUCUACCAAGGUAGU